rnacentral:lncRNA from 1 species
UCACUAGACACUUGUAGACGCCAUGCCCAGCCAAGCCAGAGCCCUAGCCUGCCUCCAGAGCCAAUGGCAGUGGGAGGCAGAGUCCCACCCAGCCAGGUGGCAGGAUUCCUGGGUCUGCUCAGAGCGGGACACCUCUCUUCCACCCACCCAGGCCAGUGAGGAUGGCGAGAGCGUGGGACACUGCCCUUCCUGUCAGCGGCUCUUCAUGGUCCUGCUCCUCAAGGGCGUGCCCUUCACACUCACCACAGUGGACACACGAAGGUGAGACACCACCCUGGACCCUCCCCUGGUCUCUGCCCACCUUGGGCCAGCCACCUCCCCUCUGCCUGGUGUCCACAGGGCAUUGGAUGUGCUGAAGGACUUCGCACCGGGAUCACAAUUGCCCAUCCUACUCUAUGAUGGGGACGUCAAGACAGACACACUGCAGAUUGAGGAGUUUCUGGAAGAGACAUUGGGGCCACCCGAGUGAGCACCUGAUGGGGCAGGAGGGCAAAGAUGGGACCUCCUCGGGGGACACCUGGGAGAGUGCCUAGGUAGGGUGCUUUGAGGCACAGUGUACUUAAGGGUCUGAUUGGAGUUCUCAAACCACUCACGCCUACAGCUUUCCUGGCCUGGCACCUAGGUACAGGGAGUCCAACACAGCAGGCAAUGACAUCUUCCACAAGUUCUCUGCCUUCAUCAAGAACCCAGUGCCUACACAGGACGAUGGUGAGACACAAGCCAGCAGGUACAGGCAGGAGGGCUAACGCCAGGCCAAGGCUGAGUCCUCACUGUCACCGUUGCCCCUAAGCCCUGUAUCAGCAGCUGCUCCGGGCCCUGACCAGGCUGGACAGGUACCUGGGUACACCACUGGACCAUGAACUGGCACAGGAGCCACACCUUUCUGAAUCCCGCCGCCGCUUUCUC